CCCCGGAAAGUGACGGUACCUCCCAAAGGAAGCACCGGCUAACUCCGUGCCAGCAGCCGCGGUAAUACGGAGGGUGCGAGCGUUGUCCGGGAAUCACUGGGCGUAAAGGGCGCGUAGGCGGCGCGAUAAGUUGGGCGUGAAAGGCCCGGGCUCAACCCGGGGACUGCGCUUGAUACUGUCGCGCUGUGAGUCCGGGAGAGGGAAGCGGAAUUCCGGGUGUAGCGGUGAAAUGCGUAGAUAUCCGGAGGAACACCGGUGGCGAAGGCGGCUUCCUGGACCGACACUGACGCUGAGGCGCGAAAGCUAGGGGAGCAAACAGGAUUAGAUACCCUGGUAGUCCACGCCGUAAACGAUGGGUGCUAGGUGUCGCGGGCUUUGACCCCUGCGGUGCCGUAGCUAACGCAUUAAGCACCCCGCCUGGGGAGUACGGUCGCAAGACUAAAACUUAAAGGAAUUGACG
rnacentral:rRNA from 1 species